rnacentral:lncRNA from 1 species
AUUCUCCUGCCUCAGCCUCCUGAGUAGCUGGGAUUACAGGCACGUGCUACCAUUCCUGGCUAAUUUUUUUGUAAUUUUAGUAGAGACAUGGUUUCACCAUGUUGGUCAGGCUGUUCUUGAACUCCUGACCUUGUGAUCUGCCCACCUCUGCCUCCCAAAGUGCUGGGAUUACAGGCUUGAGCCCCCGUGCCUGGCCUUCACCUCUACCUAUUAUAAUAUUUUCAUGUUAUUCCAUUUUGUCAUGUUUGUGGGUCAUUUGAUGAGGGUUCACAAUAUGAAAACUGGGCAUUUUGGCCAAGAUGCAUGUAAAUGAAUACAACUCCAUGUGCCCUGAUAACUGAUUUCUAGAUCCUGAGAUGCAAGUGGCUUCCAGAGUGUCUGUAUUUUAUGAAAGUUCAUAUACAGUAAACCAUGCUAAUUGUUACUGAUACAGCUUCCUUGAAUAUAUAAAGCGAUGAUUAAUGGGAUGUUUUGUUUCUGCAGAAAACCACUGAAUUGCUUCUCCAAAGCCAAGUGACCUGUAUGAUUUGUCCUUAUUAUAUUUUGUGAACCAGUGGACUAAAACCUUUAUAAUGGGUCAUUUUUUUAGUAUUGUCAAUAUUGCUCAAUUAACAAACAUGACUCAUAUACACAGGUGAGAUGUAGUUCUCCCUUUGACAUUUGCUCUACAUCUGUCCCUUAGAUGAUGAUAUGGAAGAAAAGCACUCUUUGGCCUGUUGUGACUGGGACAGUUGACAGCACCCAGGUGUCCUUUAAUGAAAAUGCUCUUGACACCAAUGCAUCCUAGCAUCACAGCUUCAGGAAGCCUUCUCAAGUGUGCAUGGGGAGUACUAUGUCUUUCAUCAAUAAUGAAAUCUUCUGAUUUGUAAGACAUGCUGCCAAGAGAUGUGCCAUUCUAUUAUAAAAGAUCAGUAGCUUCCUUUACCGACGUGUAUAUUCUAUCUAGAACAUUGAGCUAUGGAAGACUCCCACCUAAGGGAAUUAGUUUUACACCUUCAGAUAAAGACUGCUGAGAAGAGCACCCUCUGGUGUUGUCACAGAGGCAAGUGCUACCGCACAGGCAUGCUGCAGUGAAUUUAACUGAUCCUCUGUCCCUGCAACCGUUGUUUAAGGAUGCUAUUCUGACUGUGGAGGAAGAAAACCCUUUACCCUGUUGUUCAGGGAGAAACUGACACCACUCAACUGCCUGGCACUGAAAAUGUGGCAUCCAGUCCACUUUACCAUCAGUGUUUAAGGAAACCAUCUCUGAUAAGGAUGACUGAGGAAGAGUACUCUUUGGCUUGUUGACACCAGCACAGCUGACACACCCAGAUAUCUGUUUGGUCUCCUGUGAACUUUCAACCAGGAUUUAAGGAUGCCACUCUGGUUAAAAGCUGAAACAACUUCAAGGAAACUUCAGGGAAAAGAGAAGGCCUGGAAUCUGAUCCUCCACUUCAGAGAACAGGGGUGGUGGAGUCUAUGGCCCUUCUCCUUGAAUCUGAGUGAAAUUAGUGAGUCUUUCAAUCCAAAGACUACAGUCAUACCUCAACUAUCUACAGAGGACUGGUUCCAGGACUCCCAUGGAUCCCAAAAUCCAAGGAUGCUUCGAAUCCCUUAUAUAAAAUGGCAUGGUAUUUGCAUAUAACCUACAUGCAUCUUCAAAUAUGUUAAACCAUCUCUAGAUUACUUAUAAUACCAAAUACAAUGUAAUGCUAUGUAAACAGUUGUUACAAUGUAUUGUCAAAGACAAGCUCUCCUUGCCAAUCCCUGACCAAAUGAGAGAUUCAUGAGCAAAAUAAAUAGUUGCUGAUAUUUAAGGCACUAAGUUUGGGGCAAUGUAUUACACAGCAAUAAAUAACUGGAACAGCAUAGUAAAUUCUAGUUAAAAAUACUAAACUACUAAGUUUUAGUUAACAUACAUGCUCAAGUUAAGGGUGUGGUAUACUAACAACUGCAACUUACUUUGAAAAGCAUAAAAAAAGACACUAGAAGAAGACAGGAUGGAUAGAUGGACAAGAUAGAAGACAAUAACAAAUAGAACAAAAUGUUGUGAAAUUAUAUUCUACAAUUAUUUUAAAGUCUGUGUGGUUUGAAAAAUUGUACGAUAAAAUGAAG